AUUCUUGUUGAUGGUGGUCCGCACAUAGGAGGUGGCAGGCUUCCGCUGGCUGGAUCUCCGCUUCAUGACCACCACACCUCUGCUGUCGGCUGCAGGCUCCACGCCCACAGUCUUGCGGUGAAUCAGCCCUUUUUAGCGAAGGAGUUGCGGGCCUUCAAGUUAUUGGGCUCUGUGCUGUCUGUCUACUUCUUCCUCUUGAUCAGGAAACUGGAGCAGUUCCUCACGACCAUCCAUUGCAGAUGCGCAGACAUGGCGGCGGCUUCUCUCGCAGCGGCCUCAGGGGCAAUUUAAAAGGUCCGCGCUGCGUUUAUGAGCUGUAACACGCACCACCGAGAAGGUCUGCAGCUUCACUGCAGAAGCCAGUGAGACCACAAACCUACCGAAAGUAAGAAACUCUGGACACAUGUGAACAUCUGAGGGAACAAACUCCGGACACACCAUCUUUCAGAACUGUAACACUCACCGCGAGCGUCGGCGGCUUGGUUCUUGAAGUCAGCGAGACCAAGAACCCACCAAUUCCGAACACUCUCCCUCUGAUGAAGUACCUCAAAAGCUAAGCUCCCAUCAAUCCUGGAGAGAUAGAAUCAGCAGAGCAUAGUGGCAGAAUGAAUGGUUUAAAAGGAACAGCAGCGACCAAAGAACUUUUUAUGCAGAGAAACCCCAAAUCUGGGGCAAAGCCCUCCUGUUCAUUUUAUCUCACACAAGGGCAUUGUUGAUCCAGAUGAAUGUAUUCACUUUGAAACGAGACCAUAGUCGCCGCUAGAGACAAAACUACAUACACUGACCCAGAUACGGUUCUUCCCCAGACCAAGUGACCCCAGCUGCAGCCGGAGUGCUCACAGUAAACUGAAAUUACAUGAAUGACACCCAGGGAAAGACGCUUGUAUUAUAAAGAGGCUACAUUUCUAUUUGGUUUACUGAUGUAUUAAUUUUUCAAAGUUUGGAAUCUCUUCAAAUACAAGGUAAAUGCAUUUUCUAAGAAUUUGGCCCAGUGGCACUCGUCUGGAUGUGAUAACCUGUUUUUCCUGUAUCAUGAUUUAACUUAAACUACUCUUGUAAGUGACUGAUUCUGUAUCUUCAAGUUACAUUCAUACAUCCUGUGACUGGAUAUUGACGAAUUCAGUAGGUGCCACAGGCAUAUCUUGCUUGUCUGAAAGGAAAGUUAAUUUUAUACUAAGAUGCCACCAUUAAAAUAGAUAAUGAAAGCAUUGUUAGGAUUUACCAGAUUAGCUAAAGCAACAAAACAUCAGAUUGUAACUAGAUGACCUCGGGGAAAAACACAGGAUGUAUAUUUCCACAAAACAUCCCGCAUCAUUUGACAUAUUCAAAGUAAAGGUAAGCCAUGUAUUUUGGCCUUUAUGUUGUUCACAGAAGAGUUCUUUGCACACUGGAUAUACAUUGGAAUUCAUCUUCCUUUUCUUCUUAGUAUGUUAGAAUAUCUAUGUCUUCAAAAGGGUCAGCCUCAAAUGAGUGAGCCAAAGGCACUUACAUGCAGACCAGUACUUAUUAGAAAGAACUGAGAAAUGAAACAUAAACUGAUAAGUGAGUGCAAGUCAUUCAUCUUUUUAAAGCCCAUAAAAAGAGAA
rnacentral:lncRNA from 1 species